rnacentral:rRNA from 1 species
GGUUAAGUGACUAAGCGUACACGGUGGAUGCCUUGGCAGUCAGAGGCGAUGAAAGACGUAGUAACUUGCGAUAAGCCCAGAUUAGGUAGUAACAACCAUUUGAGUCUGGGAUUUCUGAAUGGGGAAACCCACGUGCAUAAGCACGUAUCCUUACCUGAAUACAUAGGGUAAGGAGGCGAACCGGGGGAACUGAAACAUCUAAGUACCCCGAGGAAAAGAAAUCAACCGAGAUUCCGAAAGUAGCGGCGAGCGAAAUUGGACUAGCCCUUAAGCUUUACACGCGUUAGACGAACGGUCUGGAAAGUCCGACGAUACAGGGUGAUAGUCCCGUAGUUGACGACGUGUGUUCAGUGAAAUCGAGUAGGGCGGGACACGUGAUAUCCUGUCUGAAUAUGGGGGGACCAUCCUCCAAGGCUAAAUACUACUGACUGACCGAUAGUGAACCAGUACCGUGAGGGAAAGGCGAAAAGAACCCCUGUGAGGGGAGUGAAAUAGAACCUGAAACCGUGUACGUACAAGCAGUAGGAGCAGGCUUUGUCCUGUGACUGCGUACCUUUUGUAUAAUGGGUCAGCGACUUAUAUUCAGUGGCAAGGUUAACCAUCUAGGGGAGCCGUAGGGAAACCGAGUCUUAACUGGGCGUUCAGUCUCUGGAUAUAGACCCGAAACCAGGUGAUCUAGCCAUGGGCAGGUUGAAGGUUGAGUAACAUCAACUGGAGGACCGAACCGACUAAUGUUGAAAAAUUAGCGGAUGACUUGUGGCUAGGGGUGAAAGGCCAAUCAAACCUGGAGAUAGCUGGUUCUCCCCGAAAGCUAUUUAGGUAGCGCCUCGGACGAAUACUACUGGGGGUAGAGCACUGUUAAGGCUAGGGGGUCAUCCCGACUUACCAACCCUUUGCAAACUCCGAAUACCAGUAAGUACUAUCCGGGAGACACACGGCGGGUGCUAACGUCCGUCGUGGAGAGGGAAACAACCCAGACCGCCAGCUAAGGUCCCAAAUUACUACUAAGUGGGAAACGAUGUGGGAAGGCUCAGACAGCCAGGAUGUUGGCUUAGAAGCAGCCAUCAUUUAAAGAAAGCGUAAUAGCUCACUGGUCGAGUCGGCCUGCGCGGAAGAUGUAACGGGGCUAAGUAGUAAACCGAAGCUGCGGCAAUGUGCUUUUUGCACAUUGGGUAGGGGAGCGUUCUGUAAGCGGUUGAAGGUGUGUGGUAACGCAUGCUGGACGUAUCAGAAGUGCGAAUGCUGACAUGAGUAACGAUAAAGGGGGUGAAAAACCUCCUCGCCGGAAGACCAAGGGUUCCUGUCCAACGUUAAUCGGGGCAGGGUAAGUCGACCCCUAAGGCGAGGCCGAAAGGCGUAGUCGAUGGGAAACGGGUUAAUAUUCCCGUACUUCUUACAAUUGCGAUGGGGGGACGGAGAAGGCUAGGUGGGCCUGGCGACGGUUGUCCAGGUUCAAGUGCGUAGGCUUAAGAGUUAGGUAAAUCCGGCUCUUUUUAAGGCUGAGACACGACGUCGAGCACCUACGGGUGUGAAGUCAUUGAUGCCAUGCUUCCAGGAAAAGCCUCUAAGCUUCAGAUUGUAAGGAAUCGUACCCCAAACCGACACAGGUGGUCGGGUAGAGAAUACCAAGGCGCUUGAGAGAACUCGGGUGAAGGAACUAGGCAAAAUGGUACCGUAACUUCGGGAGAAGGUACGCUCUUGAUGGUGAAGUCCCUCGCGGAUGGAGCUGACGAGAGUCGCAGAUACCAGGUGGCUGCAACUGUUUAUUAAAAACACAGCACUGUGCAAAAUCGUAAGAUGACGUAUACGGUGUGACGCCUGCCCGGUGCCGGAAGGUUAAUUGAUGGGGUUAGACUUCGGUCGAAGCUCUUGAUCGAAGCCCCGGUAAACGGCGGCCGUAACUAUAACGGUCCUAAGGUAGCGAAAUUCCUUGUCGGGUAAGUUCCGACCUGCACGAAUGGCGUAAUGAUGGCCACGCUGUCUCCACCCGAGACUCAGUGAAAUUGAAAUCGCUGUGAAGAUGCAGUGUACCCGCGGCUAGACGGAAAGACCCCGUGAACCUUUACUACAGCUUGGCACUGAACAUUGACCCUACAUGUGUAGGAUAGGUGGGAGGCUUUGAAGCACGUACGCCAGUAUGUGUGGAGCCGUCCUUGAAAUACCACCCUUGUAGUGUUGAUGUUCUAACGUCGACCCCUUAUCGGGGUUGCGGACAGUGCCUGGUGGGUAGUUUGACUGGGGCGGUCUCCUCCCAAAGAGUAACGGAGGAGCACGAAGGUGGGCUAAUCACGGUUGGACAUCGUGAGGUUAGUGCAAUGGCAUAAGCCCGCUUGACUGCGAGAAUGACAAUUCGAGCAGGUGCGAAAGCAGGUCAUAGUGAUCCGGUGGUUCUGAAUGGAAGGGCCAUCGCUCAACGGAUAAAAGGUACUCCGGGGAUAACAGGCUGAUACCGCCCAAGAGUUCAUAUCGACGGCGGUGUUUGGCACCUCGAUGUCGGCUCAUCACAUCCUGGGGCUGAAGUCGGUCCCAAGGGUAUGGCUGUUCGCCAUUUAAAGUGGUACGCGAGCUGGGUUUAGAACGUCGUGAGACAGUUCGGUCCCUAUCUGCCGUGGGCGUUGGAAGAUUGAAGGGGGCUGCUCCUAGUACGAGAGGACCGGAGUGGACGAACCUCUGGUGUUCGGGUUGUGUCGCCAGACGCAUUGCCCGGUAGCUAAGUUCGGAAUCGAUAACCGCUGAAAGCAUCUAAGCGGGAAGCGAGCCCUGAGAUGAGUCUUCCCUGAUACUUUAAGUAUCCUAAAGGGUUGUCGGAGACUACGACGUUGAUAGGUCAGGUGUGUAAGUGCUGUGAGGCAUUGAGCUAACUGAUACUAAUUGCCCGUGAGGCUUAACCAU